rnacentral:rRNA from 1 species
GACGAACCGUGCGAACGUUAUUCGGAAUCACUGGGCGUAAAGGGUGCGUAGGCGGUCGUGUAAGUCUGAUGUGAAAUCUCACAGCUUAACUGUGAAACUGCAUUGGAUACUAUUCGGCUUGAGAGUUGGAGGGGGGACUGGAAUUCUUGGUGUAGCAGUGAAAUGCGUAGAUAUCAAGAGGAACACCAGUGGCGAAGGCGAGUCCCUGGACAACUUCUGACGCUGAGGCACGAAAGCUAGGGGAGCAAACAGG